rnacentral:rRNA from 1 species
CACGAAGUUAGCCGGGGCUUCUUCUCACGCUACCGUCAUCAUCGUCGCGUGCGAAAGAGCUUUACAACCCGAAGGCCUUCAUCACUCACGCGGCAUUGCUGGAUCAGGCUUGCGCCCAUUGUCCAAUAUUCCCCACUGCUGCCUCCCGUAGGGGUCUGGGCCGUGUCUCAGUCCCAGUGUGGCUGAUCAUCCUCUCAGACCAGCUAAGGAUCGUUGCCUUGGUAGGCCGUUACCCCACCAACAAGCUAAUCCUACGCGGGCCCAUCCCAUGGCGAUAAAUCUUUGUCCCUCAAGACACAUACGGUAUUAGCUCCAGUUUCCCGGAGUUAUUCCGUACCACAGGGCAGGUUCCCACGCGUUACUCACCCGUGCGCCACUAGGGCCGAAGCCCUCGUUCGACUUGCAUGUGUUAGGCAUGCCGCCAGCGUUCGUUCUGAGCCAGGAUCAAACUCU